rnacentral:piRNA from 1 species
GCUCUUGGUUCAGGCGACUCAAGCCCUCA